UUGGGGAAGGUGACAUCUGAAUUCUCUGGGUCUGUAUUUCAUCUUCUAAUAGUAGACUGUUGGAGAUGCACUGGGAAAAAUAUCUUAAUGUUUGCUCUGAAGCCUCUCCCAGGAAGGAAAGGACACGGAAAGGAUCCAAGCAUUCACGCGGAAGUGGUGGCAAUACACACUGUCAUUGUUAAACCCGGCAACAGGAAGUGGGAUGAUGGAAGCGUCUGGAUAAUUCGAUCCAGCGGAGCUGCGUGGAAAACCUGGAUCCCUGAGUUUCUAUCUAGCUGGAAAUCACCCAAGAGAAUUACCUGAAGAGCAAUACCUGAAAUGGAGGAUGUAUGUGAGAGAAAUGGACCAUUUGCUACAUAAAGCAUUGAAAUGUCUUUGGCUUGGGAUUCAGACGCUCACUCAUUGGAUGAGGUGUGUAGCCCACCUGACUAUGAAGCCCUUUCUUGAUGGAGCCAUCAUGAGAAGAGCUGCAGAAGCACACCCUGAGGAAAGCCAUCCCCGGUACAGCUCUGGGUCUCCAAUGCACACUGGAUCCUCCUUAGUUUAGUUUGUCUGCAUCCACUUAGGAAAUUUCUCAGUUAGUGUUGCAGCAGCAACAGUCGCAAAUCAUUAAACUAGAGUCACAGGGAACUUUCAGUGUAAGACAGAAAUUCACGUAUGCUUCCGCUUGUUCCAAACCAGAACAGGGCACAUUUUACUGCAGCUGAAAGAGAGGAAAUGUAAAUAAGAAUGGGGGGGUGGAGAAAGGAUGUACACUGCCCAGCAUCUUUUGAACCAACUGACAUAUUCAGCUCGGAGCAUUUGGGACUUGGAUCUGCAGAUGGAUUAGACAUUUAUGAGCAUGACUGGCAUGUAAAUUUAUGUGAACUAGAACAAAAAAGACACAAGGAAAUAAAGUCUCAAGUUCCAGGAUGUAAAUUGAUCACAUGUGGAGGGAGGGGCCAGAUGGAAUUCCCACCUCACUCCAGCAUGGCUAUUACACAAUGGCCAGGUGCAGCAGGCUGGAUGUUCCCUCCUUAUUUUCUUUUCCCUUUUCUUUGGCAUAUCUGAUUCUGCCUAAACAUGAAGUGUGGUAUUAAACCACACAAACAGAGAUCUGAUCCUGCUGGGCAACUCCUACUGAAAACCAAGAUAAUGCAAAUAUUUUCAAUUCUUCAAGUUAAAUCCAGACUAAGGAUUGUGCAUUGUGCAUGAUCUCUCUGUUCUUGUAUUAAAAGAAGUUUUUAGUUGUAUGCUUAGCAUGAAAAGAAUUUAAAAUUCCCAACCUACACAUUGUUUAAACAAAUAAAGAGAAUUGGAUAGUUUCCACAAGGUAAGCUAAAUGCACCUUAAUUAGUGGAGACUCCUGAGCUAGAGCGAUUCCAAUCUGGAAGGACCAGUUAUUUGCAAGAAAGAAAGAAAAAGACAAAACAAAACCCCCACUCAUUCCUCACAUUUUAAGCAGAAAAAUAAAAUGUGCUUUUGAGCUGCA